UUCUGUACGAUAUUUGUUUUGUUAUGCUCUGAAAUGCUUCAUUCACUGAUAAUAUGCUUCGAAAUGUUCCAUAUGUCGUUGAUAUGCUCCGGAACAUUUCAUCUGCCAUUGAUAUGCUCUAAUUACUCUGUGCUCCAUUUGCUAUGAACUGAUAUGUUCUGAAAUGUCCUAUCUGCCAUUGAUAAGCUCCGAUAUGUUUCCUUUGUUACUGAUAUGCUCCAAUUACUCUGUGCUCCAUUUGCUAUGAACUGAUAUAUUCUGAAAUGUCCUAUCUGCCAUAAAUGUGAAUUAUCGAGUGAUGCGAUAUAUGAUUUUAAACUGCACAGGUUUUAUGGAUGUGAAUAUGAAUAGAAUGUUUUUCAGUGUCCUCAAACGUUAGUUUGGAUCCUGGAUUGGUCUGUGAUGAAAAUUUUAAAAAUCAUGGAUAUUUUGAGGGGCGUGACAC
rnacentral:lncRNA from 1 species